GUGGGGAAUCUUAGACAAUGGGGGCAACCCUGAUCUAGCCAUGCCGCGUGAGUGAUGAAGGCCUUAGGGUCGUAAAGCUCUUUCGCUGGGGAAGAUAAUGACGGUACCCAGUAAAGAAACCCCGGCUAACUCCGUGCCAGCAGCCGCGGUAAUACGGAGGGGGUUAGCGUUGUUCGGAAUUACUGGGCGUAAAGCGCGCGUAGGCGGAUUGGAAAGUUGGGGGUGAAAUCCCGGGGCUCAACCCUGGAAUGGCCUUCAAAACUCCCAGUCUUGAGGUCGAGAGAGGUGAGUGGAAUUCCGAGUGUAGAGGUGAAAUUCGUAGAUAUUCGGAGGAACACCAGUGGCGAAGGCGGCUCACUGGCUCGAUACUGACGCUGAGGUGCGAAAGCGUGGGGAGCAAACAGGAUUAGAAACCCGAGUAGUCC
rnacentral:rRNA from 1 species